AUCGAAUAAAUCACUGAUAAUUAACGGCCUCUCUGAGAUCCUUGCACUAACAAAACAAGAAAACCAUGCACUUAAUACCGUUAAUCUAACACAAGAACAUUACAGGAAAGAUUAAAAGACGCAGAAGGAACUCGGCAAACUACGAACCCCGCCUGUUUACCAAAAACAUCGCCUCUUGCUAACAAACAUGUAUAAGAGGUCCAGCCUGCCCAGUGACUAUAUGUUCAACGGCCGCGGUAUUCUGACCGUGCAAAGGUAGCGUAAUCACUUGUCUUUUAAAUAAAGACUGGUAUGAACGGCACCACGAAGGUUCAACUGUCUCCUGCAUCCAAUCCAUUAAACUGACCUCCCCGUGCAGAGGCGGGGAUUUAACCAUAAGACGAGAAGACCCUAUGGAGCUUUAAACUAAAGGCAACUGCCAACUACAACCUAACCCAUAAGGAAAUAAUAAUAAAACAAGCAGAAAUUGACCUAAAGUUUUCGGUUGGGGCGACCACGGAGAAUAAAAAAUCCUCCUUGAAGAAUAGGGCCUACUACUCUUAAC
rnacentral:rRNA from 1 species